GAGAGGGAGGCCGAAGCAAACUCCGUCAGGUUUCAGAUAACUACUUCAGGUUAGGCGGGAGAAAUAAAAAGGGUGACCAUAGAUAUAUGGUCUAGCAUCACGAGGUUCAGGUAACUGCUGUUGAUCAACCGUUGCUUCGGUCGAGUUAGAGAUUAAAGAAGACUGAAAUUAUGGG